AAUUAAUCGCUGCUGCUGCUGGAACCACCAGGCUCGACGGCCGCGGCGGCGACCUGCUUGGGCGUGUACCGCGCGGCGAGCACCAUGUAGAGCAGCAGGUUGGCGAUGCUGAUGACCGUCCAGAGCCAGAAGUAGUAGUCGAGGUGGCCGGCGUUGAGGUCCGGCGCCAGCCACCCGGGGCGCCCGGUCACGGCGGCCACCAGCGUCACCACCAGCGAGUUUACGUAGAACCCCAGCGACAGCGCCAGGAACGAGAAGGCGGAGCAGAUGCUGCGCAUCGCCGCGGGUGCCUCCCCGUAGAAGAACUCCAGCUGCGCGAUGCCGCAGAACACGUCGGACCCCGCCACCAGCACGAACUGCGGCACCUGCCACAGGAUGCUCAUCGGCGCCGACGGCGCCUGCCGGAGCCGGCGGCGCUCGACCAGCGCGGCGGUGCCCAGGGCCAGUACCACAAGGAACCGGCCCACGCCCAUCCGCUGCAGCUGCGUGAGCCCGCCGGGGCGACCCGUGGCGCGUCGGGCGAGGGGGAUGAUGGCGGCGUCGUGGAGCGCCACCCACAGCAGCAUGAACACCACCUCCACGGACACCAGCGACGCCGCGGGCACCUUGAAGCGGCCCCCGAGGCGCGCGUCCAUGACCAUCCCCUGCUGGAUGAAGGUGGUGGUCAUCUGCCCCAGCGACGCCGCGUACAGCACGCACGUCAACCAGAUGGGCAGCAUCCGGACCAGGAUCUUCACGCCCUCCACCUCACUCACCGAGCACAGCGACCACUCGCCCUCCUGCUCCCUGUCCUGCUCCUUCACGAUCACGGCGGCCUUGUCCAGGCACCGGAGCCCCUUGGUGCGCGACAGACGCUGCCCGCCGUUGGCGGCGGCGUCUUCUUCCUCUUCGUGCAGCGGCACGGCGGCGCCGUCCGCUUGCGCGAGCCUCGCCUUGCGCUUCCUGAAGGCGGCGACGAGCACCCUGACGAUGUCCUUGAGCGGGCUCCCCGUGGGCAUCUGCACCCGGUACCAUGGCGUGCCGGCGACGAAGGCGAGCGCGGCGGCGAGCAGGCAGGCGGUGCCGACGCCGAAGCCGAGCGCCCACGCCACGUUCUGCUGCAGCCACGACACGAGCGUGCCGGCGAUGAAGAUGCCCAGGUUGAUGGCGGCGAAGAACCAGCUGAAGAAGGCCUGCUUCCGCUCGGGGCGCUCCGCGUCGUCGUCGUACUGCUCGGCGCCGAACGGGAGCAGCGCCGACUUGACCCCGCCCGUGCCGAUGGAGGUCAGGUACAGCGCCGCGAAGAAGACGGAGAACUGGGUCUUGCUCGCCGGCGCGCACGACUCCCCCAUCUGGCACGCCGUCGCCGGCCGCAGCGACGGGACCGCGGCGGACACGGUGAGCAGCACCAGGCCCUGCCGUUCGUUCGUUCGUCGAUUAAAUUAUCACCGCAUUCGUCCGGCCAUUAUUCAUGGCGGCAUUCAAUCCAUCACCGGAUUGAAUUGAACAGAACAGAAAGAGGCGAGGAUUGAACCACUGACCACGAGGUAGAAGGAGAUGGAGGCGAGGAUGGUCCGGUACUUGCCCCAGUAGCUGUCGGCGAGGAAGGCGCCUAUGACGGGGACGAUGAAGGUGGUGCCGUUCCAGGUGUCGACGUGAGCGGCGUUGAAGGCGGUGCUCCCGUGCAGCACCGUGGCCAGGUACACCACCAGGUUCAGCGCCACGCCGGAGAAGGCGAUGCUCUCCAGCAGCUCGAACACUGCAUAUCCGUGAUGCAGGAAUCGGCAAUCAGGAAUCAGCAAUCGGAGGCCUACGAAUCUGAAUCUGAAUCAGACAUCAGGGCUCCUGAAUUACCUAGGACGAUCGCCGGCGCCUUCCAGUUGAAGCGCCUCCCCGCCGCCGGCCCUGACUCCAUGGAAGAAACCUGCUGGUGGUGGUGGUGGUGGUGACCAUUGGAUCCGCCAGGAGGGGGAGACAUGCCGCUCUGCAGGGACAGGACAGGGGAUGGCAAAAGACGCGUGUUCAGCGAGCUCCUCCAACGCCGACGGCGGAAACGACACGCACGCGGUGGACGUAGGGGAGUACUACGACGUGUGAUCUCACUUGGGUCCCCUGGCCAGGACGAUGAGAUGGUAAUCUACUUGCUCAAGGAGAGGGAGAAGAGAAAGGAUAGGGACCAUGGAUGACCUCAAUUUCUUCUCCGUUUAAAUACUCUUGGAAACCAACGAGUCAAAGGAAAGUAGGCAGAGGACGAGUGAGGCGUGCGUCAUCGCCGCCGCCUUCCGUCGAUCCUCGUGAAACAUUGCCUUGUGUGACGGUGUGAGCUCAUCAGAGAAUCUCAGCGGCCGGAGUGCACGCACGCGGAAGAGGAGAAGAGGAGAGGAUCGAAUUGGAGAAAGAAGGAAAGGAGGAACCGUGGCGGGGAAAGAGGCGGCCGGUAACUGAUGAACCUGGCUGUCAGUCAGCGGCUGCUGCGGCUGCGACAUGCAUGCCGGGCCAACGUCUCUGAUCUCUCCAUCACACACUCUCUUUCUCAUCUGCCAACUACCUACCAGCUAAGCAGGCAGCCCGGCAUCAUGAACCACGCAGAUGGAUCGAGCUGUCAAUAAUGCAGCGCAGCAGCUCCAACCGAGUCACCACCCAGUACACGCACGCGACGACCGGACCGGACCGGACGGGCAAGUAAUCAUGGACUCCUGGUAAGGAAACUGACCGGCCAAGAACUAACUGGGUGCCGACGGAUAAUAAACAAAAAAAAAGAUUGCAAGAAGAGUGAGGAGGGAAUGGAUAACCGCCGGCUACCUGCAUCUCCGGAAGCAGGGGGCCGACUCCUCUCUCGUCCGCACGGCUCCUCCUGCCGCCGCCGCCCAUGGGAACGGACGGACUGGUGGUUGUUGAGCCGAGCCGAUGCGAAGCGGGGGGAGAGAUUGCCAGCGGAGCAGAUGGGUGCAAUCUCUCACGUCAACGUCGUCUUCCCCCUCCUCUGCUCAGCUGUUCUCCCUUAUAAGUGACUCAAGGGGGUCACGAAAGAACUCGUCACCAGAAGAGAAAGCAAAAAAGAAGAGCAAGUGACCAUCUAUCUGUCGAUCUCCUCUGUUGCAAACUUGCAAUUGCAAGCAGGGAGUAGGCUAGGUACAGCGCAACCGACGGCAGUUGGAGCUCUUGUCCCUCUCAGAUCUCUGAAAAAAUGCAAAAUGCAGAUAGAUGAGACGGAAUGGGUUGGGCGUGGUGCAUUUGAAUACUAGCAUUUCCAACUGCAGGGCUCGCGUCCGAAUUGAAUUAUCGCUUUUAUAUAAGACUGCACCUUUGGUGAAGAGGUCACAAAGAUAGUCAGGGGCAGGCACCGAACCUCACGUUGCCUCACAUGUCCAGUUGCUGUUGCUUAGCGCCACAACCUCCCCUUGACAGCAACGGCUGCUGGCUCCCAUCGGUUCUUGAACAAAGAAACAAAACAUCUGAGUUGCUUAAAUUAACAAUCCUUGUGGGGUUUUAUCAAUGCCUGCAAAUGCUGGUGACAGCCAGGCCCACGGCACGGGCACGGGCACCAUCAUGUGACUCCCGCUGGACUCAUGAGCGCCAUUAGUUUAUCUGCCAACACCAUUAGAGUAAGCUCAGCCAUCCAGUGGCCACCAAGUCAAUGCUGACCGCAGCUUGCGGACCAGUAGUUACUGAUUGAUUGCGGAGCUGCUCGUCGCGGCUGCUCAAGUCAACUGGAACCAACGCUCCACUUGCCUGAGGCGCGAUGUAGUAGUGUCUUACUGUCUUUACUAUUGGUGAUUAGGUUGCAGAAAACAAGCGUACGGUUCAAUCCAACUGCAAGUGUGUGUGCAAACAACAAUACUCUCGCGUUGAAGAUGAGGCACUGGAGCUCACAGGCUCACUGGAUGAAUGCAGCGGGCAGCACAAAUCUUCCUCUCUCUGUUUUUUUUUCACUGUACUCAAAUGAACAAUAUACUACAACGAAUUCUGGCGGCGUUUACAAUAGGCAACAGUCUUGGUCCCGAACUAGUGUACACUGUACACCGUAAAAUAAAGCAGUACUCAAUUACUCAUACAGCUAGAGAGACUGAGACAGCUUAACCUUGAGGCCCAGCAGCAGCAAGAGCUCCUACCGAGCUACUGACGGACAACCUUCUUGACAGUAUAGCGCUUCGCGAACGCCGUGUACACGACGUAGUUCACCGCGCUGAUGCCCGUCCAAAGCCAGAAGUAGUAGUCGAGGUGGCCGUCGUUCAGGUCGGCGGGGAGCCACCCCUUCCCUCCGCCCGCCGUCGUCGCCGCCGCCACGACCGACACCACCAGCGUGUUCACGUAGUAGGCCAGCGACAUGGCCAGGAACUGGAACGCCGAGCACAGGCUGCGCAUCGACG
rnacentral:lncRNA from 1 species